rnacentral:rRNA from 1 species
CUACGGGAUGCUGCAGGCACGAAACCUUUACAAUGCACGAAAGUGUGAUAAGGGAACCCCAAGUGCUCAUGUUUAACAUGGGCUUUUGCUAAGUGUAAAAAGCUUGGAGAAUAAGUGGUGGGUAAGACUGGUGCCAGCAGCCGCGGUAACACCAGCGCCACGAGUGGGAACCAUGUUUAUUUGGCCUAAAGCGUCCGUAGCUGGUUUAUUAAGUCCUUUGUGAAAUCAUCAAGCUCAACUUGCUGAAUGGCAGGGGAAACUGUUAAACUAGAGACCGGUAGGAGUCAGGGGAAUUCUAUGGGGAGCGGUAAAAUGCUAUAAUCCUUAGAGGACCACCUGUGGCGAAGGCGCCUGACUAGAACGGAUCUGACAGCGAGGGACGAAAGCUAGGGGAGCGAUCCGGAUUAGAUACCCCCGUAGUC